AAUUGAUGCGGCCAAGAUUUGAGAGAAUGCUUGCUGUAUUACGUCAAAAAAACUCUAGGGCGGCAGCGUGGUUAGAUAAAAUCCCAAAAGAAAAAUGGACGCAAUCAUAUGAUGAGGGGAGACGGUACGGCCAUAUGACGACGAAUUUGGCUGAAUGUGUAAAUGCGGUUCUGAAAGGAGCAAGGGCCUUGCCUAUUACUGCACUUGUUAGAGCAACAUAUCAUAGACUAAACUCCUGGUUUCUACACCAUAGAAAUGAAGCAAAUAACAUGAUAAGGGCGGG
rnacentral:lncRNA from 1 species